rnacentral:rRNA from 1 species
AGAGUUUGAUCAUGGCUCAGAUUGAACGCUGGCGGCAGGCCUAACACAUGCAAGUCGAGCGGUAGCACAGAGAGCUUGCUCUCGGGUGACGAGCGGCGGACGGGUGAGUAAUGUCUGGGAAACUGCCUGAUGGAGGGGGAUAACUACUGGAAACGGUAGCUAAUACCGCAUAACGUCGCAAGACCAAAGUGGGGGACCUUCGGGCCUCAUGCCAUCAGAUGUGCCCAGAUGGGAUUAGCUAGUAGGUGGGGUAACGGCUCACCUAGGCGACGAUCCCUAGCUGGUCUGAGAGGAUGACCAGCCACACUGGAACUGAGACACGGUCCAGACUCCUACGGGAGGCAGCAGUGGGGAAUAUUGCACAAUGGGCGCAAGCCUGAUGCAGCCAUGCCGCGUGUAUGAAGAAGGCCUUCGGGUUGUAAAGUACUUUCAGCGGGGAGGAAGGCGAUAAGGUUAAUAACCUUGUCGAUUGACGUUACCCGCAGAAGAAGCACCGGCUAACUCCGUGCCAGCAGCCGCGGUAAUACGGAGGGUGCAAGCGUUAAUCGGAAUUACUGGGCGUAAAGCGCACGCAGGCGGUCUGUCAAGUCGGAUGUGAAAUCCCCGGGCUCAACCUGGGAACUGCAUUCGAAACUGGCAGGCUAGAGUCUUGUAGAGGGGGGUAGAAUUCCAGGUGUAGCGGUGAAAUGCGUAGAGAUCUGGAGGAAUACCGGUGGCGAAGGCGGCCCCCUGGACAAAGACUGACGCUCAGGUGCGAAAGCGUGGGGAGCAAACAGGAUUAGAUACCCUGGUAGUCCACGCCGUAAACGAUGUCGAUUUGGAGGUUGUGCCCUUGAGGCGUGGCUUCCGGAGCUAACGCGUUAAAUCGACCGCCUGGGGAGUACGGCCGCAAGGUUAAAACUCAAAUGAAUUGACGGGGGCCCGCACAAGCGGUGGAGCAUGUGGUUUAAUUCGAUGCAACGCGAAGAACCUUACCUGGUCUUGACAUCCACAGAACUUAGCAGAGAUGCUUUGGUGCCUUCGGGAACUGUGAGACAGGUGCUGCAUGGCUGUCGUCAGCUCGUGUUGUGAAAUGUUGGGUUAAGUCCCGCAACGAGCGCAACCCUUAUCCUUUGUUGCCAGCGGUUCGGCCGGGAACUCAAAGGAGACUGCCAGUGAUAAACUGGAGGAAGGUGGGGAUGACGUCAAGUCAUCAUGGCCCUUACGACCAGGGCUACACACGUGCUACAAUGGCAUAUACAAAGAGAAGCGACCUCGCGAGAGCAAGCGGACCUCAUAAAGUAUGUCGUAGUCCGGAUUGGAGUCUGCAACUCGACUCCAUGAAGUCGGAAUCGCUAGUAAUCGUGGAUCAGCAUGCCACGGUGAAUACGUUCCCGGGCCUUGUACACACCGCCCGUCACACCAUGGGAGUGGGUUGCAAAAGAAGUAGGUAGCUUAACCUUCGGGAGGGCGCUUACCACUUUGUGAUUCAUGACUGGGGUGAAGUCGUAACAAGGUAACCGUAGGGGAACCUGCGGUUG